CAGUCGCCGCGGGAAAACGAAGGGGGCUAGCGUUGUUCGGAAUCACUGGGCGUAAAGCGCACGUAGGCGGACUUUUAAGUCAGAGGUGAAAUCCCAAGGCUCAACCUUGGAACUGCCUUUGAUACUGGGAGUCUUGAGUUCGGGAGAGGUGAGUGGAACUGCGAGUGUAGAGGUGAAAUUCGUAGAUAUUCGCAAGAACACCAGUGGCGAAGGCGGCUCACUGGCCCGAUACUGACGCUGAGGUGCGAAAGCGUGGGGAGCAAACAGGAUUAGAUACCCGAGUAGUCCCUGUCUCUUAUAC
rnacentral:rRNA from 1 species